UGGGGAAUAUUGGGCAAUGGGCGAAAGCCUGACCCAGCAACGCCGCGUGAGGGAAGAAGGUUUUCGGAUUGUAAACCUCUGUUCUUAGUGACGAAGGAAGUGACGGUAGCUAAGAAGGAAGCCCCGGCUAACUACGUGCCAGCAGCCGCGGUAAUACGUAGGGGGCGAGCGUUGUCCGGAAUUACUGGGCGUAAAGGGUGAGUAGGCGGCUUAUUAAGUUGGAUGUGAAAUACCUGGGCUUAACCUGGGGGGUGCAUUCAAAACUGGUAGGCUAGAGUAUCGGAGAGGAAAGCGGAAUUCCUGGUGUAGCGGUGAAAUGCGUAGAUAUCAGGAGGAACACCGGUGGCGAAGGCGGCUUUCUGGACGACAACUGACGCUGAGGCACGAAAGCGUGGGGAGCAAACAGG
rnacentral:rRNA from 1 species